CCAUAGUUUAUUGGAUCUUCUCUNUACUUGGAUACCUGUGGUAAUUCUAGAGCUAAUACACGCAACAAAACCCUGACUUCGGAAGGGGUGCAUUUAUUAGAACAAAACCAAUCGGGCUUGCCCGUCGUUUGGUGAAUCUGAAUAACUCAGCGGAUCGCACGGUCUCGCACCGGCGACGUAUCUUUCAAGUGUCUGCCUUAUCAACUGUCGAUGGUAGUUUAUAUGACUACCAUGGUUGUAACGGGUAACGGAGAAUAAGGGUUCGACUCCGGAGAGGGAGCCUGAGAAACGGCUACCACAUCCAAGGAAGGCAGCAGGCGCGCAAAUUACCCACUCUCAGCUCGAGGAGGUAGUGACGAAAAAUAACGAGACGCUUCUCUAUGAGGUGCGUCAUCGGAAUGGGUACAAUUUAAACCCUU
rnacentral:rRNA from 1 species